GGGGCGUCAGGAUUGGAUUCCGGUGUGGAGCCCAGCUGCAGGCAAUCCUGACAGAGCCCCCCCUCCAAGGGCUACGUCCUCGGAGCCCCAACAGUACCAUCAGUGGAGGCGGCGGGGCGGACGGCGGCAACCACAGGGCUCCUGCCCUGCUGUAUCCUCCCCUUGGAGGACCCGGUCCCUCGGGCUGGCUCCCCGGCGUGGUCAGGCGUGGCGGCCCCGGUCCCUCGGGCUGGCUCCCCGGCGUGGUCAGGCGUGGCGGCCCCGGUCCCUCGGGCUGGCUCCCCGGCGUGGUCAGGCGUGGCGGCCCCGGUCCCUCGGCCUGGCUCCCCGGCGUGGUCAGGCGUGGCGGCCCCGGUCCCUCGGCCUGGCUCCCCGGCGUGGUCAGGCGUGGCGGCCCCGGUCCCUCGGCCUGGCUCCCCGGCGUGGUCAGGCGUGGCGGCCCCGGUCCCUCGGCCUGGCUCCCCGGCGCGGUCAGGCUUGGCGGCCCCGGUCCCUCGGCCUGGCUCCCCGGCGCGGUCAGGCUUGGCGGCCCCGGACCCUCGGCCUGGCUCCCCGGCGCGGUCCCGCUUGGCGGCACCGGACCCUCGGCCUGGCUCCCCGGCGUUGUCCCGCUUGGCGGCCCCGGACCCUCGGCCUGGCUCCCCGGCGUGGUCCCGCUUGGCGGCCCCGGACCCUCGGCCUGGCUCUCCGGCGUGGUCCCGCUUGGCGGCCCCGGACCCUCGGCCUGGCUCUCCGGCGUGGUCCCGCUUGGCGGCCCCGGACCCUCGGCCUGGCUCUCCGGCGUGGUCCCGCAUGACGGCCCCGGACUCCCGUACCUGCACACAAUAAUCAGGGCCGAUCCAUCUGGGUACGUGUGGGCCCUGUCUCCACAUGUCCCCUCUGACACAUCUUGUGUCACCCCCUGCACCGCGCAGGGAGAUUGUCCCAGAGCCUCCGGCGACUGUUCCAGGCACCCCAGGCUGGUGCCUUCUGGGACUAUGCAGCCCCUCUCGCUGCCCGGCCCUGG
rnacentral:lncRNA from 1 species